AUGCUUGAUCGUGCAUUCCCUUCACCACAAACUGUGUUGCUUCCCAUGGACAUCAGCAAUGACCAUGACUACCUGCACCUACUACCUGAGGACCAAGGAGGAGGAGGAGGAGGAGGUGGUGGUGGCGGUGGCGGUGGUGGUGAAGAAGUCUUUGCCGUUGGGCUGCUGCGCCAUGUUCUCCGCUACAGCUUCGAGGGCAUACAACAGCUUGGCGCCGCCAUGGCUGACAUCGUCCCGUCCACCACCGUCAUAGAUGCUCCGGACGAGUUGGAGUUUGCAGCUGGCGGAGACGACCCAGAGUUUGUGGCGGCACAAGAAGAAGAAGAAGAAGAAGAAGAAGAAGAAGAAGAAGAAGAAGAAGAAGAAGAAGAAGACCACGACGACGACAACGAUGAAGAAGAAGCCUUCGCGGUUGCACUGCUGCGCGAGGUUCUCCUCUGUGGCAUUGUGGCGAUACAAAAGUUCGGCACUGCCAUUGUGGCCAACACAGCCGACAUCAUCUUGAGCAUGGCCGGCGGUGACGAAAAGGAGGAUGAUGAAGAGGUAGAAGAGGAGGACUCAGAAGACUAUGAUGCUGAGGAGGAAGAGGAGAGUGAUGAAGAGGAUGAAGAAGAGGAGGAUGAAGAGGACGAAGAAGACGAGGAUGAGGAGGACCAAGAAGAAGCCGUGCUGCGCCUGCGCGAAGUUCUCCGCUACCACUUCGCGGCACAACUGGCAGCGCUGGAGACGGUGGAGGCACCGUUCGACAGCAGCGAUUGCCCGAUCUGUCUGGACGAUGCCAUGGUGGGCGGGGUGUGGAAAGAGACGCCCUGUGGACACAGCUUCCACGGGUGGUGCCUGGAGACGUGGCUGCAGGCGAACCGGAGCUGCCCCAUGUGCCGCGCCAGGUGCUGA
rnacentral:rRNA from 1 species